rnacentral:lncRNA from 10 species
GUUCUGAGUCAGGUCACAUCCCAGAGAUCAAAAAGAGCCACAGCUGCACACAACUAGGACCACCACUAGAGAGUGAAGGCAGGCCACUGGGAAAUGAGGGAGCUGCUGGCCUGGUGGAGCUGGGGUCUGAGUGUAAUUUGGAACCUAGGUUCUCUCAAGACAUUCACUAUGCAUGGCUUUUAACAGGAAACAAAUAGUUUUCAUUUUCUGCAUUCCUCUACACUUAUUUCCCUUUUUAUUAUUUUUUUAUUCUUCAUAUGACCUAAGAAGAAACAUCACUCCAUACUAUUAAUUUUGCAAUAGAAGUCUAAUUUUCCUAGUAAACUUUAGAGGUGUCAAUCAAAAUGGAUAUUUAUCAAUUGCAUGAGAAACAUCUUUGUCCUAAAGGCCUAAGCGUAUAUAUGUAUGUAAAUCACACACACACAUGCACGCAUGCACACACUAUUUUUUAAUAUAUAAACAUUGCUUUUUCUGUUCUUGGAAAAGAUUUUGAGCCCUGAUCCUAGGCUCUAUUUUUACCCUCCAUACUUUACAUAGGAAAUCAGACUCCCUCACCUCUAUGGGUGUAUGAAGUUAGGGAUAUACCAGACCAUCUAUGGCAUUCAAACUCUUUAGGACUGGGUUUGUUUGCUGUUUUAUUCACAGCAGAGAUUGAUGGGUAUUGGUGAAUGAACUUCUGUGAAAUUUCUCUUCCUUCUAAAAUGCAUUUAUUGAGGUCCAUGAGGCCGUGGUUCAUGGGGGUCACAAAGUCAGGAUUAAUGCAGACCAUUGCUGUUUUUUUCACCAUUUCUUACUGGUGGACUAAGUGCUCCUCAGGCUGUGUCAAUUCCCUCAGGAAGAAUCCUGGCUGUUUUUCAGGUGCAUAUAGGUGUAGAGAUUCUAAUUCCAAGAUAAUGUUUUCCAACAUCACCUCACUCACAAGGUAGUUAUCACAUCCACUAACACUCUCUCCUAUAGAGUCACAAAGUAGCCUGAAUCCAAAAUCUUCCAGACAGAUUUAUUCCCUGAAAACAGGCUCACCACAUCCUGAUGACUUCAGAAUUCAACCCCUGAGGAAUGUCUUGUUUCUUUGCUGCCAAAAUAAUCUAUCUUCUAAGGCCCUUGCCUUUGUCCCUAGAGUGUUUGUGUGAGGGACCCUAGCCCUCAGUGAUGGCCUCUUCCUCUCCUGAGCCAUGUUCCUAGGUAUCAAAAGUCUCAACAGUCCUCCAAUGCUGAUAGCAAAGGCUUGUUUUGUCUAAGGAGGUAGAGGACUUAUGCAACUGCAAUCAUUUUACCUUCCUUAGUCAAGUAAUUCUUAUUUUGCGAAGUACAGUUUUUAUUGAUGAAGACCUUUACUUAAACCACUGAAAACUUGUUAUGCUUGAAGUUUCUGAGGUGGACACAGGGGAUUCAGUAACAAUAUUUUCUUUUAUUACAACCUAAUUUACAGAAACUAGUGACCUAAAGUUAUUUUAUACAGUCAGCAUGAUUCUAAUGGAGUCUUUUUCUGUGUCUGUCUCACUCUGACAAUGCAGGGCAGUGAGGCUCAGGUUAUUCAGUAAGAAAGAAAUAGCCUUAUUUCCUUACUUGUUUGUGAUUUUUCAUGUUGAAUUUUUGUAACUUCUUCUUCUUCUUCUUUUUUUUUUUUUUUUAGAUGGAGUCUCAGUCACCAGGCUGGAGUGCAGUGGCACAAUCUCAGCUCACUGCAACCUUCACCUCCUGGGUUCAAGCAAUUCCCCUGCCUCAGCCUCUCGAGUAGCUGGGACUACAGGUGCUCACCACCAUGCCUGGCUAAUUUUUUUUAUUUUAGUAGAGUCGGGGUUUCACCAUGUUGGCCAGGCUGGUCUCGAUCUCCUGAUCUCAUGAUCCACCUGCCUCGGCCUCCCAAAGUGCUGAGAUUAUAGGUUUGAGCCACCAUGACUGGCCGAAUUUUUGUAACUUCUUUUCACAUAGUGGUUUACUGGGUAAGGUGUAUCUUGCUUCUCCUACAUGAUAUUCUUAUUUAUGAUGAAUUAAAACAAAUAAAGAAAAGUAAAAGAAAGGCAAAGGAACCAUAUUGUUCUUCUCCAUAAUUUUCAAGAUUUCAGAUUUUUUGUCUCUCAUUUCAACUUUCCUAGAAAGCAAACCUCAACAAUUGCUUAUAUAUUAAAAACAAAACAAAUAUAAGCCUGAAUAUCAGGAAGUAAGAGAAGUGACUUUCUGCUGACAAAAUAGCAAAACAUAUGUUAGCAAAAUUCAGUGCAGCAAAAUUAGAGACUAGGGACUCUGUCCCAGGGGAAGGAUGAAUGUCAUUGUUGAGGUACACAAAAGCAAGGGAAACGGCUGCUUCUGCCAGAGCCUCACAGAAGAGCAACUCCUGGGUCAAUGGAUUGUCCUCAGCUUUGCAAGACCAGCCACCUGCUCUUCUUUCAUUGAAUGCAGAUGUUAUCACCUCUGAGGGAAACCAUGAAGCCAGAACCACAACAGAACAGAAAGCAGCUCUGUGUGAAUGGGCAGAAGGAUAAAGGGAGUGAAUGAUCAAGGAAACCCUGGUGAUAUGAGACUGCAUCCUGGAAUGCUGAGAGCCAGGGAAGGAAUGUACCAGGUGCCAGAAUCAGUCAAUAAACAUCAUGUGUCUUCUGCAGUUCAAACUAGAUGCUUCUUCUCCUAUCUCAGGAAAAGGAGCAGCCACCAUUCCCUGACUGCAUAUAAAUAGGACACAUCUUUGAAAUGAGGAUUGACAAUUUUUCAGCCUCUCUAGAAUUCUCAUUUUCUUAAUCUCCUUCCAUUGGAGGUCCGUUACUAAAAUAUAGGACAUAGUUCCUAAGAAUUUUAUAAAAAGACAAAUAAUAUUACCAUCUACAGCUGUAUGAAGAAAAAUAGGAAAAUACCUACCAUAGUUUAACUCCUUAUUCG